rnacentral:rRNA from 1 species
AGUGAACGCUGGCGGUAGGCCUAACACAUGCAAGUCGAACGGCAGCACAGUAAGAGCUUGCUCUUACGGGUGGCGAGUGGCGGACGGGUGAGGAAUACAUCGGAAUCUACUUUUUCGUGGGGGAUAACGUAGGGAAACUUACGCUAAUACCGCAUACGACCUACGGGUGAAAGCAGGGGAUCUUCGGACCUUGCGCGAUUGAAUGAGCCGAUGUCUGAUUAGCUAGUUGGCGGGGUAAAGGCCCACCAAGGGGACGAUCCGUAGCUGGUCUGAGAGGAUGAUCAGCCACACUGGAACUGAGACACGGUCCAGACUCCUACGGGAGGCAGCAGUGGGGAAUAUUGGACAAUGGGCGCAAGCCUGAUCCAGCCAUACCGCGUGGGUGAAGAAGGCCUUCGGGUUGUAAAGCCCUUUUGUUGGGAAAGAAAAGCAGCAGGUUAAUACCCCGCUGUUCUGACGGUACCCAAAGAAUAAGCACCGGCUAACUUCGUG